AUCCCAGCAUUCUGGAGGUGGAGGC
rnacentral:piRNA from 2 species